UGCAGUCGAACGAUGACUUCUGUGCUUGCACAGAAUGAUUAGUGGCGAACGGGUGAGUAACACGUGAGUAACCUGCCCUUGACUUCGGGAUAAGCCUGGGAAACCGGGUCUAAUACCGGAUACGACCUCCUGGCGCAUGCCAUGGGGGUGGAAAGCUUUAUGCGGUUUUGGAUGGACUCGCGGCCUAUCAGCUUGUUGGUUGGGGUAAUGGCCCACCAAGGCGACGACGGGUAGCCGGCCUGAGAGGGUGACCGGCCACACUGGGACUGAGACACGGCCCAGACUCCUACGGGAGGCAGCAGUGGGGAAUAUUGCACAAUGGGCGGAAGCCUGAUGCAGCGACGCCGCGUGAGGGAUGACGGCCUUCGGGUUGUAAACCUCUUUCAGCAGGGAAGAAGCGAAAGUGACGGUACCUGCAGAAGAAGCGCCGGCUAACUACGUGCCAGCAGCCGCGGUAAUACGUAGGGCGCAAGCGUUAUCCGGAAUUAUUGGGCGUAAAGAGCUCGUAGGCGGUUUGUCGCGUCUGCUGUGAAAGCCCGGGGCUCAACCCCGGGUCUGCAGUGGGUACGGGCAGACUAGAGUGAUGUAGGGGAGACUGGAAUUCCUGGUGUAGCGGUGAAAUGCGCAGAUAUCAGGAGGAACACCGAUGGCGAAGGCAGGUCUCUGGGCAUUAACUGACGCUGAGGAGCGAAAGCAUGGGGAGCGAACAGGAUUAGAUACCCUGGUAGUCC
rnacentral:rRNA from 1 species